rnacentral:lncRNA from 1 species
UUAACUUUGCAGAGGUAAAUUAUUUUUUUCAGAAUGACAGGUGGAAUGAAGAUUUUCUUAAUCAACAAUUAUCAAGUUAUUUUUGUAAAUCACAUUCUUGCGGAAUAUCCUAGAAGAUUGCAAACAGAGAAGAGGGACAAACCUUGGUGGUUGCUUACUACUAAUUGGAACUUUUGAGUAAAAAGUUUUUCGGAUUUUGAUGUGUCAUGGUUUCAUGACACCUUCGAUGCUCAAAAUAAAGAAAUUAUGAAGGAACUUAGGUACUUUUACUGGGUAUGAUAUGUUUUUGUAUUGAUUGUGCAGGAAAAUAGGUUUCAAAGGAAAAACUCAGAAAAGGAUGAAAAAUUUGCUAAGUGAAGAGAAGUUGGUGACUUAUGAGUGUGGUCUACGAAUCAUUAAUUAGAUCCACGACUUAUGAUUGGGGUUCGUGAGUUGACUUCUGAAGCUGAAGGAAAAGUCUGAUUUCUACAAAUUCAUGAGUCGUGACUUCAAACCACGACCCGUGGGUGGCAGUCAUGUCAUAUACUGAAGACUGAUACUGAGCCUGAUUUUCAUGAUAAAGACCUAUGACUUAUGGGUCUGAUCCACAACUCCACCCAUGACUCGUAGCAUGUCCCGACUUAGUUUUCUUACAUAGUUUAUGAUAAGAUUCAUUUUGUAUCUAUAAAUACUCUCAUUGUAUUUUACGAUUAGUUUACACACUUUUACAUUAUUUUGAGUUUCUUAGACACAUUAUUGAUCUUGGGACUAUUUGAUAUUGGUUUUUAGGAUUUUUGAUCUAUUUGAGAUUUGAUUUUUUAUCUUAUUCUUGUAAGUGCAAAAUUAUGCUUUCAUCUAUGAACUCCUCUUGCGUGCUUAUGAUCAUGAGUAGCUAAACUCCAUCACUAGAUUGUGGC